ACUCCUACGGGAGGCAGCAGUGGGGAAUAUUGCACAAUGGGGGAAACCCUGAUGCAGCCAUGCCGCGUGUGUGAAGAAGGCCUUCGGUUGUAAAGCACUUUCAGUAGGGAGGAAGGUAGUGUAGUUAACACCUGCAUUAUUUGUACGUUACCUACAGAAGAAGCACCGGCUAACUCCGUGCCAGCAGCCGCGGUAAUACGGAGGGUGCGAGCGUUAAUACGGAAUUACGUGGGCGUAAAGCGCAUGCAGGCGGCCUGUUAAGUCAGAUGUGAAACGCCCGGGGUCUUAACCUCGGAAUUGCAUUUGAAACUGGCAGGCUAGAGUCUUGUAGAGGGGUUAGAAUUUCAGGUGUAGCGGUGAAAUGCGUAGAGAUCUGAAGGAAUACCGAGU
rnacentral:rRNA from 1 species